GGAUGUGAGGGUGAUCUGGCUGCGACAUCUGUCACCUCACUGAUCACCAGGGUUGAUUGGCUGAUCUGGCUGGCUAGGCGGGUGUCCCCUUCCUCCCUCACCACUCCAUGUGCGUCCCUCCCGAAGCUGCGUGCUCGGUUGAAGAGGACGGCCUUCCCUGAAUAGAGACGGACGACCGUUCUUCGGUCGAGGGUAUGUGAGUAGCUGCGCUCCCCUGCUAGAACCAAGGACAUAAUAUAAUCUUUUUUGAUUGCAGAGUAAUAUUCCAUGGAAUAUAUGUCCCAUAACAUCUUUAGCCAGUCAGUUUAUGAUG
rnacentral:snRNA from 1 species